UACAGAGGGUGCGAGCGUUAAUCGGAAUUACUGGGCGUAAAGCGCGCGUAGGCGGCUUUGCAAGUCGGGUGUGAAAUCCCCAGGCUUAACCUGGGAACUGCAUUCGAGACUGCAUUGCUAGAGUAUGGGAGAGGGAAGUGGAAUUUCCGGUGUAGCGGUGAAAUGCGUAGAUAUCAGGAGGAACACCGGUGGCGAAGGCGGCUUUCUGGACAGAUACCGACGCUGAGGCACGAAAGCUAGGGGGAGCAAACAGG
rnacentral:rRNA from 1 species